rnacentral:rRNA from 1 species
GACGAACGCUGGCGGCGUGCCUAAUACAUGCAAGUAGAACGCAGUUGCGAACGGGUGAGUAACGCGUAGGUAACUGCCUCAUAGCGGGGGAUAACUAUUGGAAACGAUAGCUAAUACCCCAUACUGUGAGAUGUACCUGCGUUGUAUUAGCUAGUUGGUGAGGUAAAGGCUCACCAAGGCGACCUUACAUACCCGCCCUGAGAGGGGUAUCGGCCACACUGGGACUGAGACACGGCCCAGACUCCUACGGGAGGCAGCAGUUGGGGAGAUUGCACAAUGGACGGAAGGCUGACCGAGCAACGCCGGCGGAGUGAAGAAGGUUUUCGGGUCGUAAAGCUAUGUUGUUAGAGAAGCGGUAACUAAAGAGAAAGGGACGGCUAACUAUGUGCCAGCAGCCGCGGUAAUAG